rnacentral:rRNA from 1 species
UACAGGGGGGGCAAGCGUUGUUCGGAAUUACUGGGCGUAAAGGGUUCGUAGGUGGCCACCUAAGUCAGACGUGAAAUCCCUCAGCUUAACUGAGGAACUGCGUCUGAUACUGGGUGGCUUGAGUGCAGGAGAGGAAUGCGGAAUUCCAGGUGUAGCGGUGAAAUGCGUAGAUAUUGGGAAGAACACCGGUGGCGAAGGCGGCGAGCUGGCCUGUUACUGACGCUGAGGCGCGACAGCGUGGGGAGCAAACAGG